GACGAACGCUGGCGGCGUGCCUAAUACAUGCAAGUGGGACGCAAGGAAACACACUGUGCUUGCACACCGUGUUUUCUUGAGUCGCGAACGGGUGAGUAACGCGUAGGUAACCUGCCUAUUAGCGGGGGAUAACUAUUGGAAACGAUAGCUAAUACCGCAUAAUAUUAAUUAUUGCAUGAUAAUUGAUUGAAAGAUGCAAGCGCAUCACUAGUAGAUGGACCUGCGUUGUAUUAGCUAGUUGGUAAGGUAAGAGCUUACCAAGGCGACGAUACAUAGCCGACCUGGGAGGGUGAUCGGCCCCACUGGGACUGGGACACGGCCCAGACUCCUAAGGGAGGCAGCAGUAGGGAAACUUCGGCAAUGGACGAAAGGCUGACCGAGCAACGCCGCGUGAGUGAAGAAGGUUUUCGGAUCGUAAAGCUCUGUUGUAAGUCAAGAACGUGUGUGAGAGUGGAAAGUUCACACAGUGACGGUAGCUUACCAGAAAGGGACGGCUAACUACGUG
rnacentral:rRNA from 1 species